UGGAAAGGCGUGCGAUACAGGGUGACAGCCCCGUACACAAAAAUGCACAUAUUGUGAGCUCGAUGAGUAGGGCGGGACACGUGGUAUCCUGUCUGAAUAUGGGGGGACCAUCCUCCAAGGCUAAAUACUCCUGACUGACCGAUAGUGAACCAGUACCGUGAGGGAAAGGCGAAAAGAACCCCGGCGAGGGGAGUGAAAAAGAACCUGAAACCGUGUACGUACAAGCAGUGGGAGCCUCUUAAUGGGGUGACUGCGUACCUUUUGUAUAAUGGGUCAGCGACUUAUAUUCUGUAGCAAGGUUAACCGAAUAGGGGAGCCGAAGGGAAACCGAGUCUUAACUGGGCGUUAAGUUGCAGGGUAUAGACCCGAAACCCGGUGAUCUAGCCAUGGGCAGGUUGAAGGUUGGGUAACACUAACUGGAGGACCGAACCGACUAAUGUUGAAAAAUUAGCGGAUGACUUGUGGCUGGGGGUGAAAGGCCAAUCAAACCGGGAGAUAGCUGGUUCUCCCCGAAAGCUAUUUAGGUAGCGCCUCGUGAAUUCAUCUCCGGGGGUAG
rnacentral:rRNA from 1 species